ACGCUGGCGGCGUGCCUAAUACAUGCAAGUAGAACGCUGAAGCUUGGUGCUUGCACCGAGCGGAGGAGUUGCGAACGGGUGAGUAACGCGUAGGUAACCUGCCUCUUAGCGGGGGAUAACUAUUGGAAACGAUAGCUAAUACCGCAUAAAAGUCGACAUUGCAUGAUGUUGACUUGAAAGGUGCAAAUGCAUCACUAAGAGAUGGACCUGCGUUGUAUUAGCUAGUUGGUGAGGUAACGGCUCACCAAGGCGACGAUACAUAGCCGACCUGAGAGGGUGAUCGGCCACACUGGGACUGAGACACGGCCCAGACUCCUAUGGGAGGCAGCAGUAGGGAAUCUUCGGCAAUGGACGGAAGUCUGACCGAGCAACGCCGCGUGAGUGAAGAAGGUUUUCGGAUCGUAAAGCUCUGUUGUAAGAGAAGAACGAGUGUGAGAGUGGAAAGUUCACACUGUGACGGUAACUUACCAGAAAGGGACGGCUAACUACGUGCCAGCAGCCGCGGUAAUACGUAGGUCCCGAGCGUUAUCCGGAUUUAUUGGGCGUAAAGCGAGCGCAGGCGGUUAGAUAAGUCUGAAGUUAAAGGCUGUGGCUUAACCAUAGUACGCUUUGGAAACUGUUUAACUUGAGUGCAGAAGGGGAGAGUGGAAUUCCAUGUGUAGCGGUGAAAUGCGUAGAUAUAUGGAGGAACACCGGUGGCGAAAGCGGCUCUCUGGUCUGUAACUGACGCUGAGGCUCGAAAGCGUGGGGAGCAAACAGGAUUAGAUACCCUGGUAGUCCACGCCGUAAACGAUGAGUGCUAGGUGUUGGGUCCUUUCCGGGACUCAGUGCCGCAGCUAACGCAUUAAGCACUCCGCCUGGGGAGUACGACCGCAAGGUUGAAACUCAAAGGAAUUGACGGGGGCCCCGC
rnacentral:rRNA from 1 species